UACGUAGGGUGCAAGCGUUGUCCGGAAUUAUUGGGCGUAAAGAGCUCGUAGGCGGCUUGUCGCGUCGGCUGUGAAAACCUGGGGCUCAACCCCGGGCCUACAGCCGAUACGGGCAAGCUAGAAUUCGGUAGGGGAGACUGGAAUUCCUGGUGUAGCGGUGAAAUGCGCAGAUAUCAGGAGGAACACCGGUGGCGAAGGCGGGUCUCUGGGCCGAUAUUGACGCUGAGGAGCGAAAGCGUGGGGAGCGAACAGG
rnacentral:rRNA from 1 species